rnacentral:siRNA from 1 species
GAAGUGUGGUUAUGAUCUCUUUCC